UACGUAGGGGGGCUAGCGUUGUCCGGAAUCAUUGGGCGUAAAGCGCGUGUAGGCGGUCCGGUAAGUCCGCUGUGAAAGUCGGGGGCUCAACCCUCGGAUGCCGGUGGAUACUGUCGGGCUUGAGUACGGAAGAGGCGAGUGGAAUUCCUGGUGUAGCGGUGAAAUGCGCAGAUAUCAGGAGGAACACCAAUGCGAAGGCAGCUCGCUGGGACGUUACUGACGCUGAGACGCGAAAGCGUGGGGAGCAAACAGG
rnacentral:rRNA from 1 species